rnacentral:rRNA from 1 species
CCUACGGGUGGCUGCAGUGGGGAAUAUUGCACAAUGGGGGGAACCCUGAUGCAGCAACGCCGCGUGAAUGACGAAGGCCUUCGGGUCGUAAAGUUCUUUGAUGGGGGAUGACAAUGACAGUACCCCAAAAACAAGCCACGGCUAACUACGUGCCAGCAGCCGCGGUAAUACGUAGGUGGCGAGCGUUGUCCGGAUUUACUGGGCGUAAAGGAUGCGUAGGUGGAAACUUAAGUGGGAUGUGAAAUCCCCGGGCUCAACCCGGGAACUGCAUUCCAAACUGGGUUACUUGAGUGCAGGAGAGGAAAGCGGAAUUCCUAGUGUAGCGGUGAAAUGCGUAGAUAUUAGGAGGAACACCAGUGGCGAAGGCGGCUUUCUGGACUGUAACUGACACUGAGGCAUGAAAGCGUGGGGAGCAAACAGGAUUAGAUACCCCUGUAGUC